rnacentral:rRNA from 1 species
AGCGAACGCUGGCGGUAGGCCUAACACAUGCAAGUCGAACGGCAGCACAGUAAGAGCUUGCUCUUACGGGUGGCGAGUGGCGGACGGGUGAGGAAUACAUCGGAAUCUACUUUUUCGUGGGGGAUAACGUAGGGAGACUUACGCUAAUACCGCAUACGACCUACGGGUGAAUGCAGGGGAUAUUCGGACCUUGCGCGAUUGAAUGAGCCGAUGUCGGAUUAGUUAGUUGGCGGGGUAAAGGCCCACCAAGGCGACGAUCCGUAGCUGGUCUGAGAGGAUGGUCGGCCACACUGGAACUGAGACACGGUCCAGACUCCUACGGGAGGCAGCAGUGGGGAAUAUUGGACAAUGGGCGAAAGCCUGAUCCAGCCAUACCGCGUGGGUGAAGAAGGCCUUCGGGUUGUAAAGCCCUUUUGUUGGGAAAGAAGAGCAGCAGGUUAAUACCCCGCUGUUCUGACGGUACCCAAAGAAUAAGCACCGGCUAACUUCGUG